UACGUAGGGUGCAAGCGUUAAUCGGAUUUACUGGGCGUAAAGCGUGCGUAGGCGGCUUUUUAAGUCGGAUGUGAAAUCCCUGAGCUUAACUUAGGAAUUGCAUUCGAUACUGGGAAGCUAGAGUAUGGGAGAGGAUGGUAGAAUUCCAGGUGUAGCGGUGAAAUGCGUAGAGAUCUGGAGGAAUACCGAUGGCGAAGGCAGCCAUCUGGCCUAAUACUGACGCUGAGGUACGAAAGCAUGGGGAGCAAACAGG
rnacentral:rRNA from 1 species